UAGGGAAUAUUGCACAAUGGGCGAAAGCCUGAUGCAGCAACGCCGCGUGCGCGAUGACGGCCUUCGGGUUGUAAAGCGCUUUUCGGGGAGAUGAGGAAGGACAGUAUCCCCGGAAUAAGGCUCGGCUAACUACGUGCCAGCAGCCGCGGUAACACGUAGGAGCCAAGCGUUAUCCGAAUUCACUGGGCGUAUAGCGCGUGUAGGCGGCUUGGUAAGUUGGAUGUGAAAGCUCCUGGCUCAACUGGGAGAGGACGUUCAAUACUGCCGGGCUAGAGGGCGACAGAGGGAGGUGGAAUUCCCGGCGUAGUAGUGAAAUGCGUAGAUAUCGGGAGGAACACCAGUGGCGAAAGCGGCCUCCUGGGUCGCACCUGACGCUCAGACGCGAAAGCUAGGGGAGCGAACGG
rnacentral:rRNA from 1 species